GUGAACAUAUAACAAAAUCUCGGCACGCACUUGAAGAUUUUUGCAGAAUUCUCAGUCAUAUACUUCAUCUUGAGCAUUUCUGGUUCAUCUCUCAUUUCCUUUUAUGAUUUGCCAUCUAGUUGCAAUGAGUUAUGAUCUGUGGAAGCUGAUUAAUGCCUGCUGCAUUAUGAGCCAUUCAGCAUCCGUUCCAGGUUCCAAGACUCCACCUUGUACAUACAAAAAAUGUCAGCAUCAUUACCGCUGACAUUUUUGUAUGUGCCUAAAUCUGUGCAGAUUGUUAUUGUGUACAUGACGUUGGAUUAUGCAUUGAUUACAAUUAUCUACUGCAGAUUCCUUACACACUGAUAUAAACGUCUCUAUUCAAUGUCUCUGAACAGAGUUGCCUGAGAAGAUCUGAUGAAAUUUCCCUGUUUGGUUUGCAGGAUGACUAGCCGAUCGGCACAUGCUGCAAGACAGCAGAAGUCGGCAUAUGGACCAGGGAACAUUUUUGAAGAACGAGGGGAUGAAGAAAAAGAAGCCAGUAUUGCUUCCAAUUAGUCAAAGGGAUCGUUGUUCUCGAAAAGAACUCCGUGUGUUCGUACACUCGAAACGCAAGUAAGAUUGGUUGUUGGCAUUAGAAGGUUUGCAUGGCCGCAAUUUCACACCACCUUUUCCAAUCAAAUCUAGAGGAAAAGGACAUCGCACGUAUGGCAUCAAAGUAUUAUUCUCAGGUAACAACAUGAAGCACUAUUAUUUUGUUAAUAAUCAACAAAAUGAGCUUGAAUCAACUUCUCAGCAGAACUUUUGAGCCAAGAUUUUUUUAGCUUAGGCAUUGAGAAUAUUUGGUCAUUUCAUAAUCAAGAUUGUCGAUAGAAGUCUUGAGAAAUGUUUCCUGAAAGAAAUUUUAAAUUGCUUGUGCUUCAUGCAUAUUUUGGUGGAUAAUUUUCGAUUUAACAUUGGAUACAUACUGUAGUAUUAGUCGUCCUGUUAAUUAGACCACUUGGUCCGAUAACAUGAGCACCCACUUCAUUGGUUCAUAGUUUUCGCGGCAACUUCUUGCAGUUCUUAUUCAGAGUAUACAGUAGCUAAAGUCAACAAACACACACGCACGCACCCCUAGUUGACCUUCUUACAGUCGCUUCUGAUCUCUCCGUUGCUCCCGGUCAGUGGAUUAAUGUUCCCCAUGUUGAUCAUGGAGGAAGCAAAGCUCUGGAAGAAGGUGCUUUCGUCGCCUGCAAAGCUGUUGACGAUGGAAAUAGUGGAGGCCCCGCUGGUGGAGAACAGCUCCUGGUCGGACUGCAGCAGCCCCUCGUUGCUCUGCAGGUUGGUGAAGUACUUGUUGUCGAAGGUGUUGGGCGUGGUGAGGUCGAGAUUGUUGAGGGUCGUGUCGUCUCCUCCCUGGGGGCAGUUCUGCUGCAGAGUCGCCAAGUAGGUGGAGUCCAGCGACGGGUCGGGGCUGCCGGUGCCGCUGAAGUUGUAGAGCCGGCUGCUGAAGAAGCGGCACUGCGCGCGGCCGAACGUGUGAGCUCCUGCGUGCAUCCCAUGCCAUGCAGAGAAGAACCAGAUGAGAAGGCCGUUUACGUACUUGUUUCUCUAUCCGGACGAGAUAGAAAAAAGAAGAGUGAAACCAGGAUUAAGCUUUACCUGACAAGGCGACCAGAUCAGUGUCAUCGAGGCCUACAUCCGAGAACUUUUGCUUGAGGGUGUCCAAGUCAUCGAAGGGGCUCGGCAUGUUGUUGGCAGCGGUAGGGUUGGCUGUGGUUCCAUCCCUCCUUCCCAGUAGUACACCCCAUGUUGGACCUCCUGCCUGUUAACAACACAUUGCUGUUGAGUUCUGACACCACCAUUCUGCUAUCAUAUUAAUUAUUUUGACUUAUCCUGGUUAUACUAAUCAACUCAUGCAUUCAUUAUCUCAUUUUUAUAUCUGACUUCACAUGGAUGUUCUCUCCCUUGAGAUAGGAACACUGUUAACCCCGUGAAUCUGUCCAAUAUGCUGGUCGUUGUGUCCAUAUACAUACUAAAAGAAUAAUUAGUUCGAGUAUAUUUGCAAUAUUGGGUCGGUCUUGCUUGUCAAAGCCUCCAAGUGAAGGAGAAGCUAAGAGAAGGAGAAGCUACACAUAUUUAUAGGGAUGAGGACCAAAGCACGAAAGCUGAGAUGUGGUAAAGCUU
rnacentral:lncRNA from 1 species